rnacentral:rRNA from 1 species
AUUGAACGCUGGCGGCGUGCUUAACACAUGCAAGUCGAUCGGUAACGCGGGGGCAACCCUGGCGACGAGAGGCGGACGGGUGAGGAACGCUUGGGAAUCUGCCUAUCAGCGGGGGACAACACGGGGAAACUCGUGCUAAUACCGCAUACGCUCUACGGAGGAAAGCCGGGGACCGCAAGGCCUGGCACUGAUAGAUGAGCCCAAGCCGGAUUAGCUAGUUGGAGGGGUAACGGCCCACCAAGGCGACGAUCCGUAGCUGGUCUGAGAGGACGAUCAGCCACACUGGGACUGAGAGACGGCCCAGACUCCUACGGGAGGCAGCAGUGGGGAAUAUUGGACAAUGGGGGAAACCCUGAUCCAGCGACGCCGCGUGGGUGAAGAAGGCCUGCGGGUUGUAAAGCCCUUUCGGUAGGGACGAAAGCUCUCGACCUAACACGUCGGGAGGUUGACUUAACCUACAAAAGAAGCACCGGCUAACUCUGUGCCAGCCGCCGCGGUAAAAC